AUAUAAAUGAGUUUGGUGAUGGCUCUGAAUGAAUGCUGUCCAAAUGCUUGACACAUGCUAAUCGUACGAUUAAUAUAAUGAAUAAUUUAAUUAAUAAGUGGUGUACAGGUGAGUAUAUGAUAUUUUCACUACCUUAAAGUGAGGGAUAAAAUACCACAUAAUAAUAAAGGCAAAAGCCGCUUUAGGAAGAAGAUUAAUAUCGUCGAGAGAGGUAGUAGUAAAGGUAAUGUCUUCACUAGCUUUAAAAUCUCGUAACCGUAACUGAAAGGUUGAUCGGUCACAUUGGGUCUGAAAAAAGCCCAAUGCAAAAUUAGUACAGCAGUGGGGAAUUUUGGUCAAUGGCCUAACGGCUGAACUGGCAAUUUGGGGAAACGAAACAGAAUUGUUUAUACAAAAAUAAAGUUUUAAGUACGUAUUAAUAAUGAUAAUAUGUAUACUAGUCUUGACCAAUUACGUGCCAGCAGUCGCGGUAAUACGUAAGAGACGAGCAUUAUUCAUAUUAAAUAGGUUUAAAGGGUACCCAGACGGUCAAAAUACCUUAACUAAAAGGAGUACUUGACUAGAGUUUUAUGUGAGAAGACCGUACUUGAGGUGGAGAGAUUAUAUUCUGUGAUACCAAGGGGACUGAUAAGGGCGAAAGCUGUCUUUUAUGUAAUAACUGACGUUGGAGGACGAAGGCAUAGAACACGAACAGGAUUUGACACCCUAGUAGUCUUUGCAGACAAUGAUGAAUGCCAUAGAAUAGUCGCUAAAAUAGCAACUCGUAUAACCGGCAGCCAUGAGCGUGUAGCACUAUCUAGGAUGCGAGUGUAGUUUAAGCAGAAUUAGUCUAUAAAUGAAAAUGAAAGCAUUUCACCUCAAGAGUAAUGUGGCAACGCAGGAACUGAAAUCACUAGACCGUUUCUGACACCAGUAGUGAAGUAUGUUAUUUAAUUCGAUGAUCCACGAAAAACCUUACCACAACUUGAAUAUUUAGCAAUAGAUACAGGAGUUGCACGGCUGUUUUCAGUUAAUGUUGUGAAACUGUGGUUCUUCCAUGGAAUUAACGGAAUCCUUUGCUUUAUUUAUAAAAAGUUUUAUAAAGCAAUCUUUCUUUAUAGCGGAAAAGAUAAAAAGGAAAAAGACAAGUCAUCAUGGCCCUUAUGUUGUGGGCUAUAGACGUGCCACGUAGUCCUUAACAAAGAGAUGCGAAAAUGCGAAUUUUAGCUAAUCUCAAAAAAGAGGAUAUAAAUUAUACAAGGAUUGUAGUCUGAAAUUCGACUAUAUGAAUAAGUAAUUACUAGUAAUCGUGAAUCACCAUGUCACGGUGAAUUAAAUCUCGGAUUGGUACUAACCACUCGUCGCAUGCUGAAAGGAGCUUACGCAAUAAGUUUGCUAUUUUGUUAUAAUCUCUUUUAUAAAUUGGAUUAAAAUAUUAUAAUGGAAUUCUUCGUAUGCGUGACUCUGAUUAGUGUUAAGUCGAAAUAUGGUUCGUGUAGUGGAAGUUGCACGGGGUUUAUAAACCUAAAAAAUAUAAUAUAUUAGGUGCUGCUUAUCGUA
rnacentral:rRNA from 1 species